AUUGAACGCUGGCGGCAGGCUUAACACAUGCAAGUCGAGCGGGCGAGGUUGCUUCGGUAACUGAGCUAGCGGCGGACGGGGGAGUAAAGCUUAGGAAUCUGCCUAUUAGUGGGGGACAACAUUUCGAGAGGGAUGCUAAUACCGCAUACGUUCUACGGGAGAAAGCAGGGGAUCACUUGUGACCUUGCGCUAAUAGAGGAACGUAAGUCGGAUUAGCUAGGUGGUGGGGUAAAGGCCUACCCAGGCGACGAUCUGGAGCGGGACUGAGCGGAUGAUCCGCCACACUGGGACUGGGAACCGGCCCAGACUCCUACGGGAGGCAGCAGUGGGGAAUAUUGGACAAUGGGGGGAACCUGAUCCAGCCACGCCGCGUGUGUGAAGAAGGCCUUUUGGUUGUAAAGCACUUUAAGUGGGGAGGAGGCUCUCUUGGUUAAUACCGAAGAAGAGUGGACGUUACCCACAGAAUAAGCACCGGCUAACUCUGUGCCAGCAGCCGCCGUAA
rnacentral:rRNA from 1 species